UUUCCGUAGGUGAACCUGCGGAAGGAUCAUUACCGAGUGCGGGUUCCAACGAGCCCAACCUCCCACCCGUGUUUACCAUGACCGCGUUGCCUCGGCGGGCCCACUGGGGCCUGGCCCCGGUCGCCGGGGGGCUUCUGCCCCCAGGUCCGCGCCCGCCGAAGCGCCCUGGAACCCUGUCUGAAUAGUGAGUCUGAGUCUAUGAUUAAAUCAUUAAAACUUUCAACAACGGAUCUCUUGGUUCCG
rnacentral:misc_RNA from 1 species